UAGGGAAUAUUCCACAAUGAGCGAAAGCUUGAUGGAGCGACACAGCGUGCACGAUGAAGGCCCUCGGGUUGUAAAGUGCUGUUGCAAGGGAAGAACACUUAGUUGAGGAAAUGCAACUAAGCUGACGGUACCUUGUUAGAAAGCGAUGGCUAACUAUGUGCCAGCAGCCGCGGUAAU
rnacentral:rRNA from 1 species